CGUGGUGGGAGACAGUGUCAGGCGGGCAGUUUGACUGGGGCGGUCGCCUCCUAAAAGGUAACGGAGGCGCUCAAAGGUUCCCUCAGAAUGGUUGGAAAUCAUUCAUAGAGUGUAAAGGCAUAAGGGAGCUUGACUGCGAGACCUACAAGUCGAGCAGGGUCGAAAGACGGACUUAGUGAUCCGGUGGUUCCGCAUGGAAGGGCCAUCGCUCAACGGAUAAAAGCUACCCCGGGGAUAACAGGCUUAUCUCCCCCAAGAGUUCACAUCGACGGGGAGGUUUGGCACCUCGAUGUCGGC
rnacentral:rRNA from 1 species